rnacentral:tRNA from 1 species
UCCCUGGCGGUCUAGGGGUUAGACUUGACACUUUUACUGGCAUGGCCUGGGUUCAAUCCCUAGUUAGGGAA